rnacentral:rRNA from 1 species
GGUGAAGAUGCCGGUUUCCCGCAACUAGACGGAAAGACCCCAUGGAGCUUCACUGUAGCUUGAUAUUGGAUCUCGGUAUUCCAUGUACAGGAUAGGUGGGAGGCUAGGAAGUAAGCGCGCCAGCGUUUAUGGAGCCAACCUUGGGAUACCACUCUUGGGAUAUUGGGAUUCUAACCUGCGACCAUGAAUCUGGUCGGGGGACACUGUCAGGUGGGCAGUUUGACUGGGGCGGUC